rnacentral:rRNA from 1 species
AAGGCUGAAACUCAAAGGAAUUGACGGGGGCCCCGCACAAGCGGUGGAGCAUGUGGUUCAAUUCGACGCAACGCGAAGAACCUUACCUGGGCUCGAAAUGUAGUGGACCGGGGUGGAAACAUCCCUUCCCGCAAGGGCCGCUAUAUAGGUGCUGCAUGGCUGUCGUCAGCUCGUGUCGUGAGAUGUUGGGUUAAGUCCCGCAACGAGCGCAACCCUUAUUGCCAGUUACUAACACAUCAUGGUGAGAACUCUGGCGAAACUGCCUCGGAUAACGAGGAGGAAGGUGGGGAUGACGUCAAGUCCUCAUGGCCUUUAUGUCCAGGGCUACACACGUGCUACAAUGGUCGGUACAAACCGUCGCAAACCCGCGAGGGGGAGCUAAUCGGAAAAAGCCGGCCUCAGUUCGGAUUGGAGUCUGCAACUCGACUCCAUGAAGCUGGAAUCGCUAGUAAUCGCGGAUCAGCACGCCGCGGUGAAUACGUUCCCGGGCCUUGUACACACCGCCCGUCACAUCACGAAAGUGGGUUGUACUAGAA